rfam:Fukomys damarensis contig96596, whole genome shotgun sequence.
GGACGCGAGGGUAAUCUGGCUGUGACGUCCGCCCCCGCACUGCUUACCAUUGUCUUGGGUUGAUUUGGCUGAUCUGGUUGCCUCGGUGGGUGUCCCCUUCCUCUCUCACCACUCCAUGUGCGUCCCUCCUAAAGCUACACUCUCACAGAGAACUACCCCUGAAAGAGGACCGUUUCUUUGGUCAAGGGUAUGUAAGUGGCUGUGCUCCCCUGCUAGAAUCCCUAACAAGCUCUCAAGAAACUGCCGGCAUGUACAGGGCCAGUGUGUUGGGAACCAAUGCCUCAUGGGUGGCUUCUGAUUUUCCCUUUUGA